rnacentral:rRNA from 1 species
CGUUCCAUCUGGAAGAAUCUGGAGACAGGUGCUGCAUGGCUGUCGUCAGCUCGUGUCGUGAGAUGUUGGGUUAAGUCCCGCAACGAGCGCAACCCUUGCCUUUAGUUGCCAGCAGUUCGGCUGGGCACUCUAAAGGGACUGCCGGUGUUAAACCGGAGGAAGGUGGGGAUGACGUCAAGUCCUCAUGGCCUUUAUGACCAGGGCUACACACGUACUACAAUGGCCGAUACAAAGGGCAGCGACACUGCGAGGUGAAGCCAAUCCCGUAAAAUCGGUCUCAGUCCGGAUUGGAGUCUGCAACUCGACUCCAUGAAGUUGGAAUCGCUAGUAAUCGUGGAUCAGCAUGCCACGGUGAAUACGUUCCCGGGCCUU